rnacentral:rRNA from 2 species
UGAUGGCCGGGGAGAGAGCGUGUAUCAUGAGCAUCAGCUCCGCCCCAGAGUGAGCCAGCUCGGGGAAAACGGGGCUUAUACCGGAGGAUAGUUGCUGUUCUUGGCGAAAUGAAAAGUGUCUGCUACCUCAUUCAGAUGGGCCCCCGGCGCAAUACCUAAUUGGUGAGGUAACGGCUCACCCCGGCGACGAUGCGUAGCCGACCUGAGAGGGUGAUCGGCCACACUGUGAUGAGACACGGCCCAGACUCCUACGGGAGGGGUGUUAGGGAAUCUUACCCAAAGGGCUAAAGUCUGACCGAGCGACGCCGCGCGAGUGAUGAAGGUUUUCGCAUCCUUAAUCUCUGAUGUUCGGGAACAAAUCCUGCCGUACAAAUAGGGCGGGCCCUUUACGCUCCCCGAAAGCCCCGGCUAACUACGUGCCAGCACCCGCGGUAAUACGUAUGUGGCAAGCGUUGUCCGGAAUUAUUGGGCGUAAAGGGCUCGCARGCGGGUUUCUUAAGUCUGAUGUGAAAGCCCCCGGCUCWACCGGGGAGGGUCAUUGGAAACUGGGGAACUUGAGUGCAGAARAGGAGAGUGKAAUUCCACGUGUAGCGGUGAAAUGCGUAGAGAUGUGGAGGAACACCAGUGGCGAAGGCGACUCUCUGGUCUGUAACUGACGCUGAGGAGCGAAAGCGUGGGGAGCGAACAGGAUUAGAUACCCUGGKAGUCCWCGCCGUAAACGAUGAGUGUUAAGUGUUAGGGGGUUUCCGCCCCUUAGUGUGCAGCUAACGCAUUAAGCACUCCGCCUGGGGAGUACGGUCGCAAGACUGAAACUCAAAGGAAUUGACGGGGGCCCGCACUAGCGGUGGAGCAUGUGGUUUAAUUCGAAGCAACGUGAAGAACCUUACCAGGUCUUGACAUCCUUUGACAAUCCUAGAGAUAGGACGUCCCCUUCGGGGGCAGAGUGACAGGUUAUUCAUGGUUCUUGUCAGAUCAGUUCGUGAAAAUAUGGGUUAAAUCCCCCAACGAGGGCAACCCUUGAUUUUAGUUGCCACCAUUCAGUUGGGCCCUUUAAGGUGACCCCCGGUGACAAACCAUAGGAAGGUGGGGAUGAAGUCAAAUCGUCAUGCCCCUUAUGACCUGGGCUAAACACGUGGUACAAUGGACAGAACAAAGGGCAGCCAAGCCGCGAGGUUAAGCCAUUCCCACAAAUCUGUUUUCAGUUUGGGUUCCAGUGUGCAACUCGACGGUUAGAAAUUGGACUCGCAUCAAACCGCCGACCAGCAAGCCGCCAUGAACAGAUUCCCCCGCCUCGAACCCCCCGACUCUCACUACAUCAGAGUUCUAACCCCCGAAGUUGGUGAGGCACCUG